UAACUGGAGGGUCCAGCAGGACCUUGUUCUAAUUCAUUUGCAGGCCUACAUCAGAACAUGCACAUAGAGAGUUAUGUAAACACGCACGUUCGCAUACACACUUAUUUACACAGGGAGGUCGUGUCAGGACGUUCUCUAGUUGGACUCACAGAACUGCACAACAUGACAUGUCACACACACUUAUUUUUCUCUAAAGUAUCAUCUGAUGUUUGUAUAAGGAGAACUUUGGACUAUGGGGAGACUGUUAUCAUUUCCAGUAAGGUCUAACUGUGUGAUGUCAUCAUGGGUUAUAUAAGGAUGGGGAGCUGUCCACUCUUUGGAGAAUCUGUUGCAAGUUUUCUUCCCACACUUCUGUGCAGAGUGUGUAAUUAAAGAUCUCUAUUUUGACGCCUCCCUGGACUCAGCCUGCUUUCUUCUCUUACCCAAAUCGAACGAAUCUUAAAAAUUCUUGGUGCCGAAACCGGUUGGGGAGGAGAGGAGCGUGCGACUGUGGCCUGGAAGGUGCCAAAACGAACGGAGAUCAGCAGCUUAUCUGAGUGACAAGCCAGGCGAAAUAAAAGUUGUGUCCAUGGAUUACUCACUUCACCAUCUACAUUUCUCCUUCCACUCGGUCACUGGACUUUUACUGCUGUAUUCUCCACCCUCACUCCGGUAUAGACUCCAUUCUUCUCACCUGCUUGCCUCUCUGCACUCACAAUCGGACUUCUUCACGGAUUGGAAUACCUCAAACUCAACCAGACCUUCUCCAAAUUUACUACAUGUGCCGGCAGACAAUCUCUUUGACCAUCGAUCAAUUCCAGUGUCUGUGUUUUUAACGUGCCCCAUGGGUCCAUCCUGUUUCUGACGGCCUGUGCCAUGACAGAUAUAGGCUAAGUUCCCAGACAAACCGGCAAGUGACAGUACUGAACUCUCUGCUCCUGAGUUUGUCAAGCAGGACUCAGAAUCAUGAGUUGUCAGGGUCUUUGCUGCCACAUUCUGGGAUUUCCCUUAGGAUUAGACUGGCUGUCAAUCAGAGACUGAUCCUUAUGUUUGUCAGUCUAAAGACUUUGAAUCUGCUCUUUGUGUGCUGUGUUUUGAACCUGCCUGUAAAAGUGUUGUGCCGGCUGCUCCAAGCACUAUGUCUAGCUACCUACAGCAAAUUUUUCUGUAGUCUGUGUUUUCUCUCACUGAGCUAACCUCUUCAAAGACUGAUGUUUGUAUGGGUCAAACAUGAGGCCAAUACUAAGCCAUCUCUUUUUCCUGUGCCAGCUUCCAGGGUGAGGUUAGCCAAGACCCAGUCUGCCUUAGCACCCGGACUAGUUCCACUGGUGGGGGUGGCUUGGGUUCAGUGGGUUUCUGCACCUGUGCCGGGUGCCUGCACCUGUGCCAGGUCCCAGGGCGAGGGUAGCUGAGACCCAGUCCCCUUCUGCACCUGUAACUGUUGGGUUUUGGGGAGGUUAUUGUCCAACUAGUUUCUGUGCCUGCAAGCGCUGCAAAGCCCCAGCCAGAGCAAUCAGAGCCUUUUGUGAGCCAGAGGUUUUCAUGUCAUCUGGCCCAGCCAUGUCUCAGCGAGAGGUCUUAGUGUCAUCUGGUUCUGUACUUGCCAAGCCUGCCACACCGAGUCCUGCACGUCUUGUGCCUGCCAUGCCACAUCCUGCACUGCCUGCACUUGCCAAGCCACAUCCUGCACCAUUUGCGCCUGCCAAACUGUCUUCACCCAGGCCGCGGCCAACCACCUGCCAAGUCAUUCAAGGAUCUUUGUCCAUGCUGCCACUGACCACCUGCCAAGCUGCCUGAGGAUGCUUUGUCUCCAUCGCCAUCGUGGCAUGGAGCCUGCCAUUGUGUUUUGUUUUGGACUCCUGUGCCCCGGGUUUUGACAACUAGUGAUACUUUUUUGUAUCCUUUCUGGUCUGUAUCAGUUUGUCUCUGCUGGCUUCCUGUUAAAUCCAGAAUUGAAUUCAAAAUCCUGCUCCUCACAGGAUUUAAAUAAUCAGGCCCCAUCUUAUGUUAAUGACCUUAAAGACACUUCCGGUGCUGCUCCGAGCUGGCAGCCAGUAUCAGCAGCUCCGACCUGAACAAAUCCUUUUUUUUCUCUUUAAUAUAUGUUUCUUUGUUGUUUGUGUUUAUUGUUUUUGUUUUUCUAUUGUGGACUGCUGUCCCCCACAAUGGAGCUCAGAAUUCUAUGGACAAUGGUGUUCUUUAUUACAUUUUUUACGGCGUCUUUGUCCGGAGAGCGCGUGGAGGUCCGACCUCCCAUUGUUUACAGAUCAGCUGUUAGCCCUCGGAGCCUCCGCUGCCCUGCCUACCGCCGAGCAAGCUAACAUCCCCCGCGAGGUGAGGAGGAAGAGACGCGGUACUCGGGCCGGGAUCGGGCGUCGCAGUAAAGUUAGGAGGUACCGGCCAGCGAUUCCAUCUAUUAUUAUGGGGAAUGUGAGAUCUCUCCCCAAUAAAGUAGACGAACUGGCGGCCCUUACCCGACAUCAGAGGAGCUACAGGGAGUGCAGCCUGAUGUGCUUCACAGAGUCGUGGCUAACUGCGCUAACUCCGGACUCACACGUAAACAUGGAUGGUUUUCAUCUGAUCCAGGCCGACAGAACAACGGAGAGUGGUAAGAAGGGAGGAGGGGGUCUGGCUGUGUGAACGAUAGAUGGUGUAACUCUGGGCAUUUAUCUAUCAAAGAGACGCUAUGCUGUGAGGACAUUGAGCUGCUAGCGGUUAGCAUGAGACCGUACCGCGAGAGUUCACACACGUGAUUAUGAUAGCCGUGUAUGUCCCGCCCUCUGCUAACGCUACAGCAGCCUGUGAGGUCCUGCACACUGUAACCAGCAGACUCUAAACACAGCACCCUCAGGCCCUUUUCCUGAUCUCUGGGGACUUUAAUCACAUCUCCCUGUCCUCCACUCUCCCCACCUUCACCAAGUAUGUUACCUGCCACACCAGAGACAAUAAAACAUUGCCAACACCAAGGAGGCAUACAGCUCAUCACCUCUUCCUCCCCUGGGGGGCUCUGAUCACAAUCUGGUUCAUCUCCAGCCUGUGUAUAAACCUCUAGUACACAGAGAACCAGUUGUGAAACGCACAGUAAGGAAAUGGUCGGCAGAGACUGAAGAGGCCCCGAGGGACUGUUUCCGUUCUACUGUGUGGGAAACCUCUGCAGCCCCCUGGAGGAUGACCUUAACAGCAUCACAGACUGUGUAACCCAUGGUUAUUUUAUUGCCAAUUGUAUUUUAAUUUGAAGUGUUACUGUUUUGUUAAAUGCUGAGUUUUCCCAUGUACCGUGAAUGCACCAUAGCGCGUGCGUGGUGACUUUCUUUCACUGCAUCCGCCUGCACGGAGCUAGAUACGCAAAGCUGUGUGGCUAUUCAGUCCUGUAACGUGUUGCGCUACGGAAUUAAUGUUUUCUUUGAAGAAUAUCCUGGUGAGUCUCACAGUUGCAGUUUCAGUUGUGCUUCAUUGUCCAGUUUCUGAGCAUAAAACCAGUCAGGAUACAAUGCUUGUCGGAAAUGUGAUGUUUGUCUUAGAACCUGCUAACGAUUGCUUAGCUGUGUUAGCCUGUGGAAAGUAUGCUAGCGUACCCACAUGUGCUCCCUGGGCUAAUGCGCUUACAUGUGAAGUUUUAGCUAACACACCACGGAGACACUUUUCAUGAUUCAUGAUUUGCAGUGAAAUGUAUUUUGUUGUUGAUAAAUUGUUAUUGGCCAAUAAGAACUGUAUAGAUGUGUGAGGAACAAAAGGGAUAACACUAGAGAAACACAUGUUUUAUUUUACAAGUGAGUGAUUGCACUGCAUGUUGUGUGCAGGCUGGUUUUUUGUUUAUGUGGUAGAAAUCUGCUGCAAGGACCGAGCGGUGCCAUCUAAGGACUGGAUGCCACUGGAGGUGCCUAGAAAGGACGUUCUCAAUCUGAAGGCCACCUGUUUCCUUGGAGGGUGGUAGG